GUGGGUACGGGCAGACUUGAGUGCGGUAGGGGAGAUUGGAAUUCCUGGUGUAGCGGUGGAAUGCGCAGAUAUCAGGAGGAACACCGAUGGCGAAGGCAGAUCUCUGGGCCGUAACUGACGCUGAGGAGCGAAAGGGUGGGGAGCAAACAGGCUUAGAUACCCUGGUAGUCCACCCCGUAAACGUUGGGAACUAGUUGUGGGGUCCUUUCCACGGAUUCCGUGACGCAGCUAACGCAUUAAGUUCCCCGCCUGGGGAGUACGGCCGCAAGGCUAAAACUCAAAGGAAUUGACGGGGACCCGCACAAGCGGCGGAGCAUGCGGAUUAAUUCGAUGCAACGCGAAGAACCUUACCAAGGCUUGACAUACACGAGAACGGGCCAGAAAUGGUCAACUCUUUGGACACUCGUGAACAGGUGGUGCAUGGUUGUCGUCAGCUCGUGUCGUGAGAUGUUGGGUUAAGUCCCGCAACGAGCGCAACCCUCGUUCUAUGUUGCCAGCACGUAAUGGUGGGAACUCAUGGGAUACUGCCGGGGUCAACUCGGAGGAAGGUGGGGAUGACGUCAAAUCAUCAUGCCCCUUAUGUCUUGGGCUUCACGCAUGCUACAAUGGCCGGUACAAUGGGCUGCGAUACCGUGAGGUGGAGCGAAUCCCAAAAAGCCGGUCCCAGUUCGGAUCGUAGUCUGCAACUCGACUACGUGAAGUCGGAGUCGCUAGUAAUCGCAGAUCAGCAACGCUGCGGU
rnacentral:rRNA from 1 species